ACUCUGGUCCCACGACCGCUAUACAGGGAUGCCAGGACGCUGAACCUCCCCGCCGAGGUUCUGGGGACAGAGGCACCGAGGGGCGCCCUGUUCUGCCAAGCCACCGGCUUCUGGGAAUCUGAACACGCCCCAGGCCCACCUCGGUGGGCCCGACCGUCUGGCCACACCUAAGGCUACCGAAUCUAGAGUCCCCUCACCCUGCGCCCCUACCGCGCCUCCCCCACCCUAAAAGCCAGCAGCCCCGCCGCCUCUCCCGGAAACGAGCCUGCUGAGCAAAGGCGGAGGAAAACCUUGGGCCUUCCGCUCUGAUUGGUUUCCCCCCGCCGCGCGGGGCGAGGCAGCGAUUGGCUGCCGGGCGUUGUCAGUCGCCGAGGCCAGAGCCUUCGCCGGGGAAACGCAGCCGGGCUCGGGUGAUUCGGCUGCCGCCGCGGCUGCUCAAGCCGGUGCAGCUGGGCGAGCUCGCACGGACGCCGCCGCCUCCGCUGCUGCCCACCCCGCCGCGCCGCCGGCGCCGCUGGUCUUGCGGGCGGCCGCCGGGGAGGGGCGGCCGGGAGAACGGAGCGUGAGGAGGCGGAGGCGGCGAAGUGAUGCUGGCGCCGGGGAUCGGGGCAGCGGCAGCGGAGCAGCAACAUCUUCGGGACCCCGGCUACAGCGUCCGUGUGGCCCGCGGGCCAACCGAGCAGCGGGAGACCACGCGCCCCGCGGGAGAGACCCUUCAAGAACUGCUCAGUCCAGAAGAGGUGGGAUUAUUGGAAGCAUCGAUGCUUUACCCUGAGGUGAGUGCAGAAGUUUUCAUUAAAAGGCAAACAGCUGAUUCCUACUUUUGGUCUUGAGGUGUUUGAAAAUUCAUGAAACUGUGGUGUAAAAUUAGGCCAUAUUAUUGUAAGUAUUAAGGAUCCUCCAAAUUGGUUUAUAGCUUUGUAGUAGUUCAUGCUUUAUACCUUUCAUGUGAGGUAUGUGCAGAAAUAAUUCCUAGGCAGAUAUUAUCCUUAUGUUUGAAGUUGGCUGAUAGGUAGAAACAGUGGGAAUUGCAAAGCACCAAUCUGGUCAUUUUGGGUUAAAAUAUUGUGAGCAAAGAUUCUCUCUCGUGGUGCUUCUCAGCCUUUUUCUUGUCGUGUGCACAUAGAAAAUGGUAAUAUUUCUAUGAUAUACCGCCGAGGCUGCUCACUCGCAGAGAUGGCUGGCACUGGUAAUCAGCUCCAGAGCAGCCAGUAGGAUCUCAUCUUAGUACAUCUGAAAACCAAUGUUUGGAAGAGCUUUGUGGGAGAGCAACAGAUGCUUUCCUUUUGGAAAAUCCUGAAGUAUCCCCUGCUUUUUAUGCAUCCAUGUGAUUGUAGUCUGGGUUUAGAGAAGCUUUUCUUAGAGGAAAAAAAAUGAUCCUUUGGGUUCUAAUUUUUCACUUGAAGUUAAUUUUAUCUAAAGUUCAACCAGUAUCCCUGAUUUUAAAAUAUUUUCCUUCCCCCUCUAUCUGCACAAUGGCAAAGAAGCCCUCCCCAGAGGACCCCCCCCCCGCCCCCCGCCAGGGACAUGUCAGUUCUGUCAGGAUUCAUUGUCCUGGGGCUCUGGGCAAGUUCACAGAAGAUAAAAAUCUAGCUCAAGGGUCAGGAGGACAUCCCCUAGUCUGGGGUCAUUGUAGAGUUUAGGCCUCACUUCAGAAUUAGGUCUAGUCUGAGUAAGAUUUAGUUACCUCAGUAGUCAUCUCAAAAAUGCUGAGGGGUUCAGCAGAUUUGGGUCCUGUUUCAAAGCCAGACUGAAUAUCACAGAAUUGUAGACUUCAGCUAAUGGGGCUUGGAUGCUUUGGUGUGUCAUCUGUGUCUCAUUUAGUUACCAUCCCACGUACUGCCAUAGUUACCACCUCAAGGAUAAGAGGUAACAACUGGGAUGACAGUGGUGUCAUCAUGAAAGACUGGCACAGAUACCCUUUGGUCUCAGUUCUAGAAGCUGUCUUAUCUUACCAGAAUUUUAUCUUGUUUUGUUUAAGUUUUUUUUUGUUUGGUUUUUUUUUGUUUGGUUUUUUUUUUUUUUUUUUUUUUAAGAUAGUAUACUACUUUAUUCCAGAUAUACCAAGGACAUAGGCUCACUAAUCUAGACAUGCAGUUAAUUCAAACAAAACCAAAAUUUGGCCUAAGCAUUCAUGUUAUUAAAUACCACAUUUCCUAAACUGUAUAAUUGGUAUAAUUCUUUCUCCCUAAAAAUGCUACAAUAAAUAAAGGAAGAAUGAUUUCUUAGCUAACACUGACAGUGCAUCCUUUUCCUGUAAUGUCACUUACAUGAGAUCUUAUAAAAAUCUGAGAUAGCUGAAUUUAGGGGUGUUGGAGUUCAUACAAAUCAUAAAGAGGGGAAAUCCUUUAAUCCUUGGCUCUCCUCAGAGUCUGUAUUUUCAUUCAAGGGAAAAUGGAACUGAAAAGAUGUAACAAAGGCCAUCUCUAGAUCUCUGGAAGCAAAGUGGGUCUUUCUCAGUAGUUUUCCAAUAUUUGAACUUGUUUUUGAUCGUACUCCAUUUUCCUUUUUUGUGGAAUUCUCCACUGGAUAUGGUGCCCACGUCCUACUGAGAAUGCAAUCAGAUCCUCCUCUCUUCACCUUCCCGUUUCAGUCGGGCACAGCCCAACAGAGCAGUUUAAGGUUUACAGAAAAAUUAAUUGAAAACUGCAGUGAGUUACUACAUACUCUCCCCCCAAAGCACCCUUAAUUUCCUUUGUAUCUGUGCAGUACAUUUUUUACAACUGAUGGACCAGUAUUGAUAUAUUUUUCAUUAACUAAAGUGCAUUAUGUCAUAGUUCAUUCUUUGUAUUGUACAUUCUUUGGGUUUUGAAAAAUGAAUGACAACAUAUUUCCAUCAUUACUAUAUCCUGAAGAAUAUUUUCACUGCCCUAAAAAGUCCAUGUGCUCCCUUCAUUUGCCCUUCCCUCGCCUUGCUGAAACCCUCCCAACCCUGGUUCCUUUUACGGCUUCCAUUGUUUGCUUUUUCAGGAAUGUCACAUAGUGGGAGUCAUACAGCAGAUAGCAUUUUCAGAUUGGCUUCUUUCACUUAGUAAUAGCUUUGAAGGUUCUUCCAUGUCUUUUUGUACCUGGACAGCUCAUUGCCUUUUAUUGUUGACUAAUAAUUGAUCAUACAGAUGUACCACAGUUUGUUUUUCCAUUCCCUUAUUGCUGAACAUUUUGGUUACUUCCAGGUUUGACAGUUAGGAAAAAGCUGCUAGAACCGUUUCUCUGCAGACUUUUGAGUGGACAUUUUUUAGUUCAUUUGGGUGUAUACCAAGGAGUGCCAUUAAUAGAUUGUAUGGUCUGAGCAUGUUUAGUUUGUAAAAAACCUCCACACUGUAUUCCAAAGUGGCUGUAUCAUUUUGCAUUCCCAGGGAAUGACAGUUCCUGUUCCUCCACAUCCUUAAUAGCAUUUGGUGUUGUCAGUGUUUGCAAUUUUAGCCAUUUUGGUAGAUGUGUAGUGUUUUGUGCCUUAGGUUUUUAAUAGUAUUAAAAAAAAGAGUGUGAUUACCCAGAAGACUCUUGAUACUUAGAUCCUAGAAAUUUUUUCAUCAUUUACAUGGUGAUGACAUUGAUUAAGAAUCUUAGAUUGGAGUUCCUGGCAUGGUACAGUGAAAAUGAAUCCGACUAGGAACCAUGAGGUUGCGGAUUUGAUCCCUGGCCUCGCUCAGUGGGUUAAGGAUCCCAUGUUGCCGUGAGCUGUGGUGUAGGUUGCAGACAUGGCUCGGAUCUGGCAUUGCUGUGGCUGUGGUGUAGGCCGGCAUCUACAGCUCUGAUUAGACCCCUAGCCUGGGGACCUCCAUAUGCCACAGGUGCAGCCCUAAAAAAAAAAAAAAAAAAAAAAAAAAAGGAAUCUGAGAUUUCCUCUGGUACAUCCACUGUAGUAAUGUAUUGUGUAGUAAUGUAUUUUUAUAAGUGUGUAUGUAAAUCUAAGAGUAUAUGUAUGUAUGUUUGUGAAUACAUGCUAUUCUCUAUAUAGAAUAUGAUAGAAAGAAUAUUAUAGAAAGAGGUUAUUAUAGGUAAAGAUUUAUCCAAUAAUACAUCAUCAAAAUGAAAAUAUGAAGAGUUUAUCAAUGGUAAUUUUAUUUGUUUCUAAAAUUGAAAUAUGAGUUUCUACAGAUCCUUGUGUUAAAAUAGGCCAUGCUUAGUGUUAUUUAUAACUAGUUUUCUGACAUAAAUAAGUGUUUCUAUAAGCCACAUCUAUUUAGGCAUUCUUAAUUUUUGUCUGUGGUUAAAUUCAACUAUGCAGAUAUAGCCACAGGAUUCUUCAAGGUCUUUUCACGUUCUAGUAAUUUUCUAGCAAAGCAAGUACGUAUUCCUGCUUUAGAUUUGAUGUACUACUGUACUACUUUGUAAAUAUUUCUGAUGAGAUAAACUUCCAUACCAGAAUGUUACUUUCUCUAGUGUAAGUACUAUUCCCUUGAUAUUUUUGUCUUUAAAGCAUGGCACAGUGCCUAUGAUAAAGAAAAAAAUUUAAAUGACACUUGUUAAAGACAGUAAGGCUUUAUUCACGAGGGACUGCUACAGUGGCAUUUUGCAGCAGGAAAGAGAAAUAGGGAUCAUGUCCACAUACAACAAGGACAAGUGGAGAUUUAUACCCAGGGGACAAAGUGGGGAGCAAUGGUUGGAUGGAAAACUACCAAGGGUAGGGGAAUUCUUGCCAGACUGUCUCAACAGGAUGCUUGCUGAAGGCAGGCCAGCUAGGUAAGAUAUGGAGAGUGGGGGGUGAGGAUAUUUGAUCUAAUAUCAAAGAUAAUUCAAUGCCAAGGAAAGAGGAUGUUGACUAAACUAACUCAACAGAAUUCUUACUAAAACUGAAUUACGCAGGCCAAGGAGAGAACUCAAGGUCAGAGCCUAGUUGAGAAGAGGAGUCAGAGGAUCCUGACCCAGAUUUAGUCAAGGAGAGAGUCUUUUUCACCUGACAUAUGGUAAAAUUUCAGUGAGUCAGUAUUGUGUUAUGUAGAUACCGUUACUUCAGAUACUGUAGAAAUUUGAUAACAAAGUCCUACAGAUACCAAGGAAGCAUUGUAAUUUAAGGAAAAUAUAGAAAAAUAAAUUUAAAUUGUACAAAUAAUUUUGUGUAAUGUUGAAGACUAACCUACUUAACAGAGCACAGAUCUGUUAAAAAAUUAAACAAUUCACAUACAUGAGCAGUUUUAUGUGCAAAAUAGUAUCUCAACAGUGACAGAAAUGUGAAGAUAAAAUAGACAUGUUCUCCAAUUUCUAAAAAAGAUGAACUCUAGUGGAGAAGGGUUUGGGGGAGGGAAAGAGAACUAUGUUGUAUUAGUGAUCACAGAAUAAAGAUAUAUACAAACAGUAUGGAUUUCCUGCUGUCAUGCCGUGAGUUAAGAAUCCAACUGCAGUGGCUCCAGUCGCUGUGGAGGCGCAGGUUUGAUCCCUGGCCCAGUGCAAUGGGUUAAAGGAUCCACAUUGCUG
rnacentral:lncRNA from 9 species